UACGUAGGGUGCAAGCGUUGUCCGGAAUUAUUGGGCGUAAAGAGCUCGUAGGCGGUUUGUUGCGUCGGCUGUGAAAUCCCGAGGCUCAACCUCGGGUCUGCAGUCGAUACGAGCAAACUAGAGUGUUGCAGGGGAGACUGGAAUUCCUGGUGUAGCGGUGAAAUGCGCAGAUAUCAGGAGGAACACCGGUGGCGAAGGCGGGUCUCUGGGCAACAACUGACGCUGAGAAGCGAAAGCAUGGGGAGCGAACAGG
rnacentral:rRNA from 1 species